GAACGCCCCUUCGGGGGAGUGGCAGACGGGUGAGUAACGCGUGGGAACCUACCCAAUGGUACGGAAUAACGCAGGGAAACUUGUGCUAAUACCGUAUAAGCCCUUCGGGGGAAAGAUUUAUCGCCAUUGGACGGGCCCGCGUUGGAUUAGCUAGUUGGUGGGGUAAAAGCUCACCAAGGCGACGAUCCAUAGCUGGUCUGAGAGGAUGAUCAGCCACACUGGGACUGAGACACGGCCCAGACUCCUACGGGAGGCAGCAGUGGGGAAUAUUGGACAAUGGGGGAAACCCUGAUCCAGCCAUGCCGCGUGGGUGAAGAAGGCCUUAGGGUUGUAAAUCCCUUUCAGCGGGGAAGAUAAUGACGGUACCCGCAGAAGAAGCCCCGGCUAACUCCGUGCCAGCAGCCGCGGUAAUACGGAGGGGGCUAGCGUUGUUCGGAAUUACUGGGCGUAAAGCGCACGUAGGCGGACUGUUUAGUCAGAGGUGAAAUCCCGGGGCUCAACCUCGGAAUUGCCUUUGAUACUGGCAGUCUUGAGUUCGAGAGAGGUGAGUGGAAUUCCGAGUGUAGAGGUGAAAUUCGUAGAUAUUCGGAGGAACACCAGUGGCGAAGGCGGCUCACUGGCUCGAUACUGACGC
rnacentral:rRNA from 1 species